GUGAGGAAUUUUGCGCAAUGGGGGCAACCCUGACGCAGCGACGCCGCGUGGAGGACGAAGUCUUUCGGGAUGUAAACUCCUGUCAGUGGGGACGAUAAUGACGGUACCCACAGAGGAAGCACCGGCUAACUCCGUGCCAGCAGCCGCGGUAAGACGGAGGGUGCAAGCGUUGUUCGGAAUUACUGGGCGUACAGCGUAUGUAGGCGGCAAGUUAAGUUCAAUGUUAAAGCCCACGGCUCACACGAGGAGAUGCAUUGAAUACUGGCUAGCUAGAUGGUGUUAGAGGAAGACGGAAUUCCCAGUGUAGCGGUGAAAUGCGUAGAUAUUGGGAGGAACAUCGGUAGCGAAAGCGGUCUUCUGGGACAGACCUGACGCUGAGGUACGAAAGCGUGGGGAGCAAACGGGAUUAGAAACCCGGGUAGUCC
rnacentral:rRNA from 1 species